UACCUGGUUGAUCCUGCCAGUAGUCAUAUGCUUGUCUCAAAGAUUAAGCCAUGCAAGUCUAAGUACGAGCUCUCGUACAGUGAAACUGCGAAUGGCUCAUUAAAUCAGCUAUGGUUCAUUUGAUCGUACAGAUUACUUGGAUAACUGUGGUAAUUCUAGAGCUAAUACAUGCGAGAAGCGCCGACCUCGCGGGAGGCGUGCAUUUAUCAGACCAAAAACCGGCCGCGUCUUCGGGCGCGUUCGCCUUGGUGACUCUGGAUAACUUUGCGGAUCGCACGGUCUAGCACCGGCGACGGAUCAUUCAAGUGUCUGCCCUAUCAACUUUCGUCGGUACGGUAUUUGCCUACCGAGGUUCUUACGGGUGACGGGGAAUCAGGGUUCGAUUCCGGAGAGGGAGCCUGAGAAACGGCUACCACAUCCAAGGAAGGCAGCAGGCGCGCAAAUUACCCAUUCCCGACGCGGGGAGGUAGUGACGAAAAAUAACAAUGCAGGACUCGUUCGAGGCCCUGUAAUUGGAAUGAGUACACUUUAAAAGCUUUAACGAGUAUCCAUUGGAGGGCAAGUCUGGUGCCAGCAGCCGCGGUAAUUCCAGCUCCAAAAGUAUAUAUUUAAGUUGUUGCGGUUAAAAAGCUCGUAGUUGGAUUUUGGGCGCAGGCGGCCGGUCCGUCGCAAGGCGUGUACUGGACGUCCUGGCCUUCCCUCCGGUUCUCCGCCGGUGCUCUUGACUGAGUGUCGGCGGCGGCCGGAACGUUUACUUUGAAAAAAUUAGAGUG
rnacentral:ncRNA from 1 species